rnacentral:lncRNA from 1 species
UCAAGGACAAGAACUCGAUGAAAGCUAAAGAGUAAGUGAGACUUUUCUCAAAAAGAAAUAGGACAAAAUAUGUAUAUUAAGAAAGAAACUGGAAUGGCUAUUGCCAAAAUACAAGAAAACUAGAGACCCUUGAAACUAGACUAGAAGCAAGAAAGGAGUUGACAAGAGUGAAGAGGGCUUCACUCUUGCCUCUAUAUAUACUAUCUAACUAGAAGCCACGUGGCGAUGUUCUAUAAGACCUCCAAUAUAUGUUGACUUUCUAGGCCACAUGCCUUUGCUUGCAAGGCAAGUUUUCUAUGGAUGGACCACAUAGUUAGCUUGUUCUUUAAGCUUCUAACAUGCGUGGCACAUGGCUAACUUGUUGACCAAGUUUCUAACCUAAAAGUCAACUAUAGACUCCUAUAAAGUCAAAGCAGCGUCUAUGAAGCUUCUAAGAAGCUUCUCUAGAAGAUAUUACACAAUUAACCUACUUUUACAUACUUUUAUCUAUUCAUAUAGGUAAUUAUAUGUAUGUCCGUGACAUUACCCCCCCUUCUAGGGACGAGUUCCACGAGGAGCCGUGAUUAUAUAUUGAGAAAAUCUAAUAUGCGGCAAAUUGUAUUUGCUACAUACUCUGAUCUUCGUUCUCUUCGAAGAUAGUUGAUGGGUCCUCUUAGCCAUCGAUAGUGUCCCAUUCCAGGGCGAGAAGACCACCCUGUUAUUUGAUCAUUGUUGAGGCCUUCAUAACUUCCUUCAAAUAAUACAUUUGAAACACCAUCAGGAGUCAUUCCUAUCUCCAAUAAUAUCACCAAACAUCGAGAAUCUCUUCCAAGGUCGUGAUACCAAACGCGUUGUAUCUCACCAUCUAUUCGAAGAAGAACAUGUCGUUCUUGAGGGUCUUCAUCUCGGUUGCGUCGUCUUGAAGGUUGUGACAAUCGCAAUGUCUCAUCCGGUAAGUCAGCAAACGAAGGUUCUUGAGUUGAAUCCGCUGGUUGUUGGCUCUCCAUCUAAUUAGCGUCACAAAAUGCAAAGAAGUUACAAACAAGGAUAGGAAAUUGAAUGUUAUCUUGCCUCAAUCUUGUCUCUUUUAUAAGAGAGGUUUUCAUCUUGGUUUUGAUGGAUGUCGUUGAUGAAAAACUUUGACUUUAGCUGAUGCAUUUCCUAGAUUCCUGGAUGGCUCCCAUGUGCGCUCACUAAUAUCAUAUCCGCGCCAAUGAACAAGAUAUUCCAGCUUAUUUCGGCGCCGCCUUGAGUCUAAUAUCUCUUCCACCUCAAAUUCUUCAUUAUUAUCUACUUCUAUAGGAGGCGGUGGCAUUUGUCUUCUUCCUUGUAUAUCCACUGUCUUAUAUGGUUCAAGAAGAGACACGUGGAAUACAGGAUGGAUCUUCAUUGACUCCGGUAGAUGUAACCGAUAUGCAACUGGGUUGAUUUGUUUAGAAACAGAAAAGGGGCCAAGCCUACGAUAGUCCAAUUUGUCACAAGGUCGAGUGGUCUUGAUAUUGCGACGAAGUAGCCAUACCUUAUCACCCACGUUGAGUUGUGGUUGCUCUUUACGAUAUACAUCUGCAUUUAUCUUUUGUCGUUCUUGAGCUUUCUUCAACUGCGCCUUCAUUAUUGCAUGUAACUCUGACAACCGAUUUGCCAUAUCUUCUGCUGCAGGAUUAUCAACUUUUGAAAAAUCAAAAGUAUCAAGUCGUGGAUGAUAGCCAUAAUUGGCAAAGAAAGGUGUUUGUUGCGUGGAGGAAUGUACCGUAUUAUUAUAAGCAAACUCUGCCAAUGGCAGAAGGUUUGUCCAAUCAUCUUGUUGGUAGUUGAUGGUACACCUUAAAUACUGUUCCAAGACUUGGUUUACGCGCUCUGUUUGUCCAUCAGUUUGAGGAUGGAAAGCUGAAGAUAGCUUUAUGUCCACUUUUAAAAUCUUGAAAAGAGUCCUCCAAAAUCUCGACACAAAUUGAGUUCCCCUAUCCGAUAUGAUAUCUUUAGGCAAUCCAUGAUAGCGAUAGAUAUUAUCAAUGAAAAGCUUAGCUGUUUCUUCACCUGUGAUAGAUUUUGUACAUGGCAUAAAAUGUGCCAUCUUGGUGAAACGAUCUACUAUCACAAAUAUAGAAUCAUAAGAUCUUGAGUUUGGAAGAUCUGUGAUGAAAUCCAUAGAAACAGAAGACCAUGGUUGUUCUGGUAUAGGUAAUGGCUGAAGAAGUCCGUAAGGUCGAUGUCGAGGAAUUUUUGAUCUUGAACAAAUAUCACAUGAUUGUACAAAGUCUUUGACUGACUUCCACAUUUGUGGCCACCAAAAAUCUCUUGAUAUGAGUUCCAAAGUCUUAUUAUAUCCAAAGUGCCCUGCUGCUGGAAAGUCAUGACGUGCUUGAAGAACACGCAAACGUGCUUUUCCUUCUGGAACAUAUAGGCGUCCUUCAAAAUAUAAUAGAUUAUUCUUGAACUCGAACUUAGAAGAAUCAUGAGACUUGGAAGAAUUAUUCUCGAUAUCAUGAACAAGAGGGUCUGAGGACAUACUGGACUGGAUUUGCUUGAGAAAAGUUGAAUCAACAGUCAGUGUUGAUUUCACUGCUCGGAGAUGAAAUUGCUCCGGUUUCAAGAGGACCGUUUUUUGUUGCUCAAAAGCUGCAUCUCCUUCUUUUGGUGCAAAAUAAGAACGUCUAGACAGGGCAUCGGACAAACCUUGUUGUUUUCCUGGCCGAUAAGUGAUAAUGAAGUCGAAUCUUGACAAAGACAUACUCCAACGAGCUUGACGACGAUUCAACACGCGUGCUGACAUGAAAUACUCGAGGUUCUUGUGAUCUGUAUACACAAUGACUGGACUAGAAGCACCUUCUAGAUAAUGACGCCAUUCUUGAAAAGAAUCCACGAUCGCAAGAAGUUCUUUAUCGUGGAUUUCAUAAUUGAUCUCGGCUGCUGAGAAUUUUCUUGAAUGAAAAGCUAUCGGAUGAAGUUUGUCAUCUGUUCCCAUUUGUGAUAAAACUGCACCCAAGGCAAAAUCCGAUGCGUCUGUUUCCAUAAAAAAUGCCUUGGAAAAAUCAACACGAUAUAAGACUGGUGCAGAGACAAACGAUGUCUUCAAGGCUUCAAAUGCUGCUUCCGCUUCUUGAUUCCAUUGGAAUUUAUCUUUACUAGUCAAGCGUGUAAGUGGAGCUGCAACUCGUGAGAAGUCUUUGAUGAAGAUCCGAUAGUAAUUGGCAAAUCCCAAGAAACAUUGGACAUCUCUUACAGUCUUUGGAAUCUUCCAAUCUAUGAUUGUUUGGACUUUCUUAGAAUCCAUCAUAAGACCAUCAUUUGAAAUGAUGUAUCCUAAAAAGUCAACUUGAGUAGUGUGAAAUACACACUUUUCCAUCUUGGCAUACAAUCCUGCAUCUCUGAGUUUUUGUAAUACUUGACGAACAUGUAUUUCAUGUUCUUCAACAUUCUUAGAAUAAAUCAGGAUAUCGUCUAGGUAGCAGACGACAAAAUUGUCUAAGAAUUCACGAAAUACAUCAUUCAUGAGAUGUUGAAAAGCAGCUGGUGCAUUCGUGAGUCCAAAAGGCAUGACAUUAUAUUCAAAAUGCCCGUACCUGGUUCGAAACGCAGUCUUCCAUUCAUCUCCUUCUUUGAUCCGUACUAGAUUAUAUGCUCCUCUUAGAUCUAUUUUUGUAUAGAUCUUAGCUUGAUUUAACUGGUCAAGGAGUCCUGAUAUCAAAGGUAAUGGAUACCUGUUCUUGAUUGUGAUCUUGUUGAGUCCUCGAUAGUCAACACACAUUCGUAAAGAUCCAUCUUUUUUCUUUACGAAUAAAAUUGGAGCUCCUGCUGGAGAUUUUGAAUGGCGUAUGAAAUUCUUCGUUAAAUUCUCGUUAAUAUAUGUCUUGAGUUCAGCCAACUCAUCUUGCGAUAAACUGUAAAUUGGUCCAAAUGGUGGCUGAGUUCCUUCCUUGAGAUCGAUUGAACAAUCGUAUGGGCGAUGCUCAGGAAGAAUAUCUGCAUUUUUUUUCUCAAAAACGUCUUGAUAAUCCUGAUAUUGACUUGGAAUGCCACUUGAAGUCUUUACGCUUUCAGAAAUAGGUGCAGCAUAAAUAGCAAAAGUUGAUCCUUCUUUUGCUGCGUGUAUAAAUGCUUUUGCACCUAUAGGUGCGAGUUUUACUAUACUAGACUCAUGGUUUUUUACUUGGUUAAUAGAACUGUUACUAAUGCUCUGAGGAAAAUCAAGUUUACGAGAAAUCCAAUCUAUUCGAGGAUUAUACUUUUCUAACCAUGAUAAGCCUAAAAUUACUGGAUUAGAGGGAGAUCUAAUUAUAUUAAAAAUUACGCAACUACUAUGACCAUUUAUUACUACAUCUACAGGAAGUGUUUCGUGAGUUACAUCUCCAGAAGACAACGGACGACCAUCUAUGACUUCUACGUGUACAGGUUUAGUUUUUUGUAUUAAUGAUAUUCUAUGACAUCUAGCAAAUUCUUCAUCUAAAAAACAAGAUGAGGCUCCUGAAUCUAUCAAGGCAGAGGCUUUGUAAUUAUUAGGUCCUAAACGCACAUCUAUUAUAAAACAAGGAGAUGGUUCUGAGGAGAGGAUAGGACCUUUAUUAGAAGUUGUACAAGAUUCCAGCCGCACGGUCCCUAUUGUAGCUGGACGUACUCGUUUUCCGACAUACUGUCUUCUUUGACAGCCAUACUCCUCAUUUUGUAGUUACGUCGCUUCUUUGGACAAUGUUGAGCAGUGUGCUUAGGUUCUCCACAAUAUAAGCACAAUCCUUCUUGUCGACGACGAGACUUUUCUUGCUCAGUAAGAGGUUUGAAACGUACCGCAUCAAUUUGCAUAUCCUCUACUUCUGAAGGUAUGUGUUGAGGAGACGUCGGUGUUGCCAUUGAAUUGUAGUAACGUUGAGGCCCACUUGUGCGACUCUCGGAUCGAAAUUCAAAAAGUCGAUUGUCGCACUUCACAGCAAAGUCAAUUGCUUGACUCAAUGUUUGAGGAUCAGGUAAAUUAAGCAUCAAUUUCUUUACCUCAUAUUGUAAUCCGUAGAGAAAUUGACUCACAAGUGCGGCAUCAUCCCACUUGAUAUCAGUUGCAAGUUGUCGAAAUUGCGAAGCAUAUAAUGUUACUGAUCGAUUGCCUUGUCGCAAAAUACGGAUCUUGUUGGUUGCAACACGAAUUGCAUCAUGUUCUCCAAACAUGGAUCGAAACUCCGCCAAAAAAGCCUCCAGAUUAUCCAAUAUUGGAUCUCGUCGUUCAAGAAAAGAUGAAAACCAUGACAAUGCUGAACCUGAAAGAAGUGUACCAAUGAAUCUUACUUGUGACCCUGGAGUUGGAUAGCUCUGGGAUUGAAGUUCAAUCACUAGUUGGACCUGAUUGAUGAAUCCUCGAAACUUGGAUCUGGUACCAUCAAACUUCUCGGGCAAGGCAACUCUCGGUUCUCUAACACUCGAAGGGUGUUCCAUUCUGGGAGAAGGGACAUGGUUUGGUGCAGAUGUUGAAGCAGCCCCAAUCAUCUCUAUAUCUUCACUUCCUACCAUUCUUGUUGCUCCUUGUGGUGGUAAAUUGAGUUGAUGCAUCGCAAGCAUUAACUCCCUCAAUUGUUCUUGCAUCUGUGCCAUUGCACUCUUCAUUUCAACAAGCUCUGCCAUAGUAGCACUUAGAAAAGAGAAGAUGUCUAAUAACGCUCAAAACAAAUAGAAGAGAGGAAUUGAUAACAAAGAAAAUACUAAGAACAAUAUCAGUUUAAAAGAGGGUAAUCCGCAACUUCUAAUGCGCUUAUGUCUUAUCAAGAAAAAGGGGUAAUCCACUCUUAAUCAAGAAAAGACAAAGCUCUGAUAUUGUAAGUGUACUCUUGUCAAUCUGUCAAGGACAAGAACUCGAUGAAAGCUAAAGAGUAAGUGAGACUUUUCUCAAAAAGAAAUAGGACAAAAUAUGUAUAUUAAGAAAGAAACUGGAAUGGCUAUUGCCAAAAUACAAGAAAACUAGAGACCCUUGAAACUAGACUAGAAGCAAGAAAGGAGUUGACAAGAGUGAAGAGGGCUUCACUCUUGCCUCUAUAUAUACUAUCUAACUAGAAGCCACGUGGCGAUGUUCUAUAAGACCUCCAAUAUAUGUUCUUUCUAGGCCACAUGCCUUUGCUUGCAAGGCAAGUUUUCUAUGGAUGGACCACGUAGUUAGCUUGUUCUUUAAGCUUCUAACAUGCGUGGCACAUGGCUAACUUGUUGACCAAGUUUCUAACCUAAAAGUCAACUAUAGACUCCUAUAAAGUCAAAGCAGCGUCUAUGAAGCUUCUAAGAAGCUUCUCUAGAAGAUAUUACACAAUUAACCUACUUUUACAUACUUUUAUCUAUUCAUAUAGGUAAUUAUAUGUAUGUCCGUG